rnacentral:rRNA from 1 species
UUCCUACGGGGGGCAGCAGUGAGGAAUAUUGGUCAAUGGGCGAGAGCCUGAACCAGCCAAGUCGCGUGAGGGAAGACGGUCCUAUGGAUUGUAAACCUCUUUUGCCGGGGAGCAAAAAGCGGUACGUGUACCGCAUCGAGAGUACCCGGAGAAAAAGCAUCGGCUAACUCCGUGCCAGCAGCCGCGGUAAUACGGAGGAUGCAAGCGUUGUCCGGAUUUACUGGGUGUAAAGGGUGCGUAGGCGGCCCUGCAAGUCAGAAGUGAAAUCCAUGGGCUUAACCCGUGAACUGCUUUUGAAACUGUAG